CAAGCGUUAUCCGGAUUUAUUAGGUUUAAAGGGUCCGCAGGCGGAAUAUUAAGUCAGUGGUGAAAGCCUACAGCUCAACUGUAGAACUGCCAUUGAAACUGUUAUUCUUGAGUAUGGAUGAAGUGGGCGGAAUAUGUCAUGUAGCGGUGAAAUGCAUAGAUAUGACAUGGAACACCAAUUGCGAAGGCAGCUCACUAAACCAUUACUGACGCUCAUGGACGAAAGCGUGGGGAGCGAACAGGAUUAGAUACCCUGGUAGUCCACGCCGUAAACGAUGAUCACUAGAUGUUGGCGAUAUAAUGUCAGCGUUCAAGAGAAAUCGAUAAGUGAUCCACCUGGGGAGUACGUUCGCAA
rnacentral:rRNA from 1 species